GUGGGUGACAGCUUUACAGUGCGCUCGGACGAAGAAGUCAAGCAGCCCCUUUUCUUACAGUUGCCAUCUUACAAAGCUUUAUUAUAGACUCUAACGCCGUGUCUACAUUGUAAAAGAGCGACGCGACGCUACAAAACUUAAACGAAACCACUACAAUAUUAUAACGGUCGAUUUCUAUUUUUGUCGCGUCGCGUGCGGUAAUUACGUAAUUACGCACUUGUGGCGGUUCCCAACAGCUUAUGCAAAUACAUUGUACAUGUCUGCUUUGGCCAAGAACCUUUAAAUGACUUGAGGACGGGUUUUCGUGAAGUUGAAGACAUGAUAAAUUCAUUAAGAAGACGAAGAACGCGGAGUGGGGUUGACAUCCUUUCUGGACAUUUAUACAGUUUCUCACUAGGCAUUUUUGCUGUCAGCGCUGGAGGAAAAGUAACGGACGGACAUCUGCGAAGAAGUUUGUGAAAGAAAGUUCAUUGGACGGAUCUUUCUUAGUAAAUACAGACAUUCUGACUGUAACUUCGGCUGGCACCAAGUCUGAUGACUUUUCCCAGAAGAUUCAGUGAAGACAUAGAGAGAGGGGGCAGAAAGAGAGCCUUCUUGUCCAAUAAGAGAAAAGGGGACUGAAGAAUGUGAAAAGCUCCCAUUCAAGCCAGUUCAGAGGGGCUGGGAGCGGCCACAUCCUCAGGAGGGAGGAGGGGUUGCUGCUUUCGGGAGGGUGGGCUAGGGAUCCUGGACAGGGGCCAGGAGCGAUGCAGAGGCUCCUCGGAUGACGCUGGUCCGUGAGAGCGUCCAGUGUCUCCGCCUCUCCUCUGUCCCUUGGGACAUCGACUCCGGACCCCUCACAUUCUAUUUACUUGCACAAACAAACUCUCCCCGCAGUUCCUCUACCCUAAGAGUAGGCUGCAGGGUGAGGAAUGUGUCUCUAUUAAUAGAGCGGUUAGAUUAUCUCAAAGACUAAUGUCUGGCAUGUCCAGAUUCCUGAAAGGCACGGCAGUGACAUACUCUCAUCUACCGCUCCUCAUUCAUUGGCAAUGAUCUCAUUUCCUUUGAUAUUCUAUGAAUUUAACUCGUGGUUCUCUUUUUAAAACAGUUUAUGUUGUACAUGCACAGCUUUAUCAUUAAUGAGAACUAAAACAUAUACAUUUAUUAAUUUUGCAGACGUUUUUAUUUAUUAGCAAUUAAACAAGAAAAGAGAAGAAAACUAAAAUAACUCAAAUUAAAAUAACUAACAUAACUGGAAAAAACUAAAAUACAAAAUAAAAAUAUGGUCACAAAUUUUUGUUUUUGAUACAUGUGCAUAAUGAGUAAUAACACCAGACUGCUGAGAUAUUUAACGCUUUAAAAUUAUGCCAGUUAGCACAUUAACUUUGGCAGCCCUAAAAGUUCAAUUAAAAAAAACUAAAAUAACAAGUAAAUAAGUUUACAAGUAAAUAAUCUGGCCAUUCACAUAUUCCAUAACGAAAUGUCUUCAGCAGAAUUUAGCUCAUAGGAACACUAUCUCUACAACGGUAAUUUUAAAUAACACAUUAUCUUCAGAAAUAGAAAUUAGGCGGAGUGUGUGUAAGGCCGGCCAUGGACUAUUUUCUCACUCAAACCACUACCCGCUGCUGCUUCUGAUUGCUUUUAGAAGGAAAAACUGCACAUAACUACUGGUGUAGGUGCAGUUAAUAUUAGCAUAUUGGCGAAACAUAUUUGGCAAACGAUCCAGUGCGUGUUUGUGCUCUGAAGAACGACAAGGCUUUACAACGUGUUCUUGCAGCGUUGAGCAGUGUAGCCAAUCACGAACAAAUCUGUUGAUUUCUAGAAAGCAAUGACCAAUCAGAGGUGCAACUUAGCACUGAACAAAAACUCAUUUUGAGCGGUGAGUGGAUUCUGAGUUGUGGACGCUGGCAAAUAUUCCCUCAUUAUAACAAACAAUUAUGUAAAUUGUUAUGUAAUUAUGCAGUCAGUUUAAUUUAUUGUUACAGAACUUCUUGAGAUUGCAAUGAACUAAGAUAAGUGAGAUUUUUAGUGAUUAUAAAGGGACUUUUGCGCACUCUCUGCCAAAUCCCGCGUGCGUAAUCUGUUAAAAUUAACAGUGGUUUGUGAACGUAAACACUUUAUUAACAAAUAAUUUAUCAGCAGUGUUUAUGUUGGGAUAUGUAAGUUGUGCUGUGUCAAGUAAGUUAAAACUAUUUAAGGAAAUCUGUUUUAAUGUGUUUUUAAAUGGGAAUCACAUCUCCUUACCCUGGAGUUGGUUCACCCUCCGCCUAUGAUCAGAAAAUUCAUAUUUAACGCAUUAUUACACAAAGCGGAACUUGAAACAUAAUUAGGCCUUAUUUAUAAAUGACUAGUAUCACUCAGAGACCCGCCGCCUUCAACUAUUUUAAUGGUGAGUACACUCAAAGUCUUUGUUACAAAUCAAUAAUAUUUUUAUUGCUAUUUGGUAUGUAUCGUUUUUAUUAUUGUGUUGUUCGAGGAAUUGAAAAGCUUUUGUGCCUUGUGUUUGCAAAGUAUAUUGCCAUAAUGCAAAGGGGAUUAUGGAUCAACUAUCUUGUGUUUUUGUGGUAAUAUAGAACUUUAUUUCUUUAUAGAAGUCUAUUUCUUUAGAUAUAGAAGUCUAUUUCAUUAAUAAUAAAUAUGGGACGUUAUUAUUUUGGCGAACAUCUGUUUCUCAGAUUAUAAAAAUGUGUGCCCCCCUGUGAAAACCGAAUACCCCCCCAUUCUAUAUGUUCUGGCGACGGCCCUGUGCUGCUGCACAUAUAACAUGAAAUAAACCCUGUAGCAGAUCUAUACAGGUGGAGCUGGGGAAGGUGGAGGGUUUCUGAAAGCGCACUGCAGACUGCUAACAGCAAACAAUGGCAAGUAUUUGAAUGAUUGAGCAGCAAGCUCAUUGGCCGCUGAUACCACAGCAACCAAUCAGCUGCGCUAUGUAGAUAAUGAUGUGAUCGCUACCAAAUGAGUUAAGGACAUAUCAGCCAGCACCAUCUAGAGUUUCAUGCCCGAACUUUGUAUUUGUAAACUCUUAAAAUAAUAAUGAAACUAAAUAAAAACAAAAAUUUACUGAAAAGACAGAAAUAAAAGUAAAGUAGAUAAAUUAAAAAAAGAAAAUAGAAAUAGAAACUAAACUGAAAACUAUAAUAACCCUGCUUAAGCAUAGUGCUUGUAUUUGCAUUGACGAAACGCAAUAUUCAGGUAUACUUUGGUCAAGAAUUCUUUGCAAUGAAGGAAUUGCCAGAUCGCUCCAUCCCAGCCUGACUUGGGAACCCAUAUGAGCUUCAGGGAGUGUAAACAUCCUACACUCUCAGCUGGAGCCCAGCCCGAGGCCGGGAGUGGGAUGUUUGCGCUCUCUGGCUCAGGAACGCCACAGCUCACUACGGCUCCACUAUGGAGGAGAAAAACAUAUUUAUAAAGUUGUUGAGAUGUUCUCCUUUUUGAGUUGCAGUAGACCUGAAAUUGCAACUGAGCACUUUGAAAUUCACUGGAACUACAAUCACUGGAGCAGGUAGCAAUCACUUAACUUAAGGGUACUGAUUGGGUUCACUUGUUGGCAGUAGUGUUACUUUUACUUAAAAUCUUUGCAUACAAAUGGCUUUUUAGCAUUAUCGGGGUUGUGCAAAGUUCAGAAAUGAAGAAUCUAUCUAUCUAUCUAUCUAUCUAUCUGUCUAUCUAUCUGUCUGUCUGUCCAUCUUUAAGGUAUAUAAAACCUUCAAUCUUCAAGACUUAAACCAUUUUUUUACACUUUCAAGCCAACAUUUUUGCAUCCUUAAUUCAGUUUUGAAAGGUGCAUGGCCCUGAUCAUUAUAAACGUAUAUACAUUGUGCAAACCGUAUGUAAAGUAUGUACUUCCUGGACUUUGUGGCUAGAUUUUGAAGUGGAUAUGGGAGCUUUGUAACGCACACAGGAAGUGAACUCCAUUGUGAGCAUUGUAAGGGCUCUGAGGGUGAGUGGCCUGUCAUCAAGACGUUCAGGCUGAACUCUAGGUCUCUUUGAAGCUUUCUGACCCCUCUGUCCAACUGCAAGUGCCUCCACCCAGACAGAGCUGCCGAUGGAAUUGCCUGAGAGGAAGUGACUAUUUAUACCCACUAAGGAACAGAGAAAGGCACCCUUCCGAUGGGCGUCUCUCCUCUUGCUUCCUUUGACAAAUAUGUUAGGACUGCUCUCAUGAAAGCUAAACCCAACUCUACGCAGAUAUGUGCAACAUCCAGUGCUCUCAAGUUAUCUGUGUACACGCCUAGCCAUGUUUUGGUUACCAUUCUCUUCUACUGCAAUGACCUUUAUCCACUUUUGCUUGGUGAUGUCAUAACUUAAGCAUCUCUCAUACUGGGCCACUAGGUGGCAGACUAACUCCAGAAAAUGCCUAAUGCUUCACACAUUGCUUGGAAGAAGAGUAGACAAAAAUGCUUCUGUUCACUAGCCAAUUGUUUGAAAAAUGUUCCACUACAAAACUUGUAGGCAUAUUCUACGUUUUUCUUUUUAACAACCUUUGCUUUUCUUAUGUGUCCCUAAUUCAACGACACCAAACCAGAGAUGUAUUCAUUUUACUCAUAUUAAACAUAUAAUUUAGCAUUUACAUUGUUUAUUAAAAACUCUUUUAAAAACAAUCUAUACUGUAAACAACCAAAGUAACAUUCUCCUACAAGUUUCACACACAAAUGUAUAAAACUUGCAUUAUUUGCAAACUUGCAAAAUUAGCAUUUUAAAAUGAUUGACAGCACCAAUAUUUUUUUAAAAUAUAUUUAAAUACUCUUUGUCACUGGUUUCGAUGGCUGUAUUUGAAAUUAUGGCAAGUACAACAAAGUGAAAAAUAGCUCCUGUUCUGUCAUCAUUGCUUUGUACCAAUUUUAGUUUUUUUUUUUUUUUUUUUGCUUAUUCUUAUGUAACUUUAUUACUUUGAGUUUGAUGAACUUAAACCAUUUAAGUAGCUAUAUAGUUGUUAACACUUGAAUUAAAAAUUAAUGAGUGGAAUAAACUUAAAAUCUUUAAGUUGAGUUUAUGAUUGACUAAACCAACACUAAAAUAUGAGUGAAUUUAACUUAAUGUAUGUGAAUUUACAGUAGUCAUACUUAUUGGUUUUAAAACUUAAAUGGUUUAAGGCAAUGGUUUGAGUUACCAUAACUUAUCCGGUUUAGUGAAAUUUUGACCUCAUUCACACCACAGUGCAUUUUCCUGCUCUAGUCACACUGAGCAAGUAAAACCCGGUGGGAAAUGUUCAAACCAAUUGACACCCUCUGAUCAAGCUCAAGUGGAGAAGUCAAAACAACUGAAGUAUGACAACAAGGACAUCAUUCAUUAUUAGUUUCACUUUUUCCCUUCUUGUCAUGCUCUUUAAACUGAAUUCUGUAAGAUCCUUACAGCAAGUUCCUUUCAAAUGUUUCAAACAAUCUCGCCCCACAGGUGGCACAGCAAUGGGAAGUUGAAGCAAGCAAAUUGGUAUGUAUGUGUUAUAUGUAAAGUAAACACAACAUUAUCAUAGUAAAUGCAUUGUCAGCAAUGAACACAUUGGGAGGAAUGUUCUGUGACUGUUGUUCCUUGUUUAAUAAACAGCUGACUUGUUGACUCUUC